CGGCGAAGGGCUUGGCGGGCCGCGCCUUGCGGCGGCGCAGUUCGCCGACCGCCGCGGCGUUCGUCGC
rnacentral:tRNA from 1 species